CCUACGGGGUGCAGCAGUGGGGAAUAUUGGACAAUGGGCGAAAGCCUGAUCCAGCCAUGCCGCGUGUGUGAAGAAGGCCUUCGGGUUGUAAAGCACUUUCAGUGGGGAAGAAAGCCUUGGGGCUAAUACCCUCGAGGAAGGACAUCACCCACAGAAGAAGCACCGGCUAACUCCGUGCCAGCAGCCGCGGUAAUACGGAGGGUGCGAGCGUUAAUCGGAAUUACUGGGCGUAAAGCGCGCGUAGGCGGUCUGAUAAGCCGGUUGUGAAAGCCCCGGGCUCAACCUGGGAACGGCAUCCGGAACUGUCAGGCUAGAGUGCAGGAGAGGAAGGUAGAAUUCCCGGUGUAGCGGUGAAAGGCGUAGAGAUCGGGAGGAAUACCAGUGGCGAAGGCGGCCUUCUGGACUGACACUGACGCUGAGGUGCGAAAGCGUGGGUAGCAAACAGGAUUAGAUACCCCAGUAGUC
rnacentral:rRNA from 1 species